rnacentral:rRNA from 1 species
UGGGGAAUUUUGGGCAAUGGCCGAAAGGCUGACCCAGCGACGCCGCGUGUGGGAGGAAGCCCUUCGGGGUGUAAACCACUGUCGGGAGGGACGAACGAGGGAGGGGGGAAUACCCUUUUCCUGUGACGGUACCUUCAAAGGAAGCGCCGGCUAACUCUGUGCCAGCAGCCGCGGUAAGACAGAGGGCGCGAGCGUUGUUCGGAAUUACUGGGCGUAAAGCGCGCGUAGGCGGAUCGGCAAGUCCGGAGUGAAAUCCCGCCGCUCAACGGCGGGGCUGCUUUGGAAACUGCAGGUCUAGGGAGCGGUAGAGGUCGGUAGAAUUCCCGGUGUAGCGGUGGAAUGCGUAGAGAUCGGGAAGAAUACCCGUGGCGAAGGCGGCCGACUGGGCCGUCUCCGACGCUGAUGCGCGAAAGCGUGGGGAGCAAACAG